AGCGAACGCUGGCGGCAGGCCUAACACAUGCAAGUCGAACGAACCUUUCGGGGUUAGUGGCGGACGGGUGAGUAACACGUGGGAACGUGCCUUUAGGUUCGGAAUAACUCAGGGAAACGUGUGCUAAUACCGAAUGUGCCCUUCGGGGGAAAGAUUAAUCGCCUUUAGAGCGGCCCGCGUCUGAUUAGCUAGUUGGUUGAGGUAAUGGCUCACCAAGGCGACGAUCAGUAGCUGGUAUGAGAGGAUGAUCAGCCACUUUGGGACUGAGACACGGCCCAAACUCCUACGGGAGGCAGCAGUGGGGAAUCUUGCGCAAUGGGCGAAAGCCUGACGCAGCCAUGCCGCGUGAAUGAUGAAGGUCUUAGGAUUGUAAGAUUCUUUCACCGGGGACGAUAAUGACGGUACCCGGAGAAGAAGCCCCGGCUAACUUCGUG
rnacentral:rRNA from 1 species